CCUACGGGAGGCAGCAGUGAGGAAUAUUGGUCAAUGGGCGCGAGCCUGAACCAGCCAAGUAGCGUGAAGGAUGAAUGCCCUACGGGUUGUAAACUUCUUUUAUACAGGAAUAAAGUGAGGCACGUGUGCCUUUUUGUAUGUACUUUAUGAAUAAGGAUCGGCUAACUCCGUGCCAGCAGCCGCGGUAAUACGGAGGAUCCGGGCGUUAUCCGGAUUUAUUGGGUUUAAAGGGAGCGUAGAUGGGUUGUUAAGUCAGUUGGGAAAAUUUGCGGCUCAAACGGAAAAUGGCAAUUGAAACUGGCAGCCUUGAGUUCAGGUGAGGCAGGCGGAAUUCGUGGUGUAGCGGUGAAAUGCUUAGAUAUCACGAAGAACUCCGAUUGCGAAGGCAGCCUACCAAACUGCCACUGACAUUGAUGCUCGAAAGUGUGGGUAUCAAACAGGAUUAGAUACCCUGGUAGUC
rnacentral:rRNA from 1 species